AUUUAGACUGUUCAUGAUCAACACUUGAGACGGAAACACAAAGAUGGCGAACCAGAUGUACGUAUUUGUCGUGUGUGCUUGUUUUCUCGGAUUUUCGGCUGCCCUGGGCGGUCCCCGAUUCAGAACAGGGGGUCUUUCUACCGACGCUCUGCCUGUGGACGCUAGAGCCCGAGAGGUUGUGAAUAGUGUGAAGGACGACAUUGUGGCACGUUUACCUGCUGAAGAAGUGGGGACCGGGAUAUUUGAGCCAAUCUCAUACAAAACCCAAGUAGUUGCUGGGACCAACUACUUUGUGAAGGUUUAUUUUAUUUUAUUAAAGCUCUCUCUCUCUCUCUCUCUCUCUCUCUCUCUCUCUCUCUCUCUCUCUCUCUCUCUCUCUCAUAAAUCAUUCGUACUUGUUUUCGAAAUUAUAUAUUUAUUUUGUUUUUUAAAAAGCAGAAUAUUGAUUUUGCAAUGAAAAUAAAGGCAACUGCUAGUCAUUCAAAACAAUAUACAUGUAAUUAAAAAUCCAUCAUGAAAUGAAUUAUGGAAUGAAUAAUUACGACGAUGUACUUCCAAGCAUACAGAUUCAUUCAUAAUUGCAUAGCAGAAUCACACAUCAGUACAAUUUCUCCUUUUAUGAAGAAACUUUCUCCUUUUUCAGAUCAAGACGGCUGCUGAUCGCUAUAUCCACGCUCGUAUUUACCGUCAUUUCUCCGGAAGUACCUCUCUGUCCGACGUCCAGACAGGGAAAACCCUAGAGGACGAAAUCACGUACUUCUAGAUGUACACACCGGCUGAUCGGUGUACUCAAAGUUAUACAAUCUGAAUAAAACUCAUUUUGAUCCUUGUUUACAAAUGAUAAGCAUUUGAAAUAAAUUUUCGGCUAAUAAAUGAUUUUU
rnacentral:misc_RNA from 1 species